rnacentral:lncRNA from 1 species
AGCAACUGAAUGCCUGGGUGGAUCAAGGUGGUGAUCUCUUUUCGUCCUGUAGCAAAGUAGACUUGUGGGUGUGGUCUGCCUUCACUGAGAUGGAAAUAAGAAAUUACAACUAGAGACCAUCAGAUCUGUAAGGCCUGGAGAGCCACGCAGAAGGAUGCAGACUGGUCAUCGGGCAGGAGUAUUGGUGCACAGAUGGCCAGUAUUGGAGGCUGAGACUUGAGAGAUGUCAAACAUCUGAGUGGGACCAGGACAGGGUGGAUGCCUCGACCUGACUCUCUAUUUACGUGGCUGGGUGAUUGGGCGCUUGUGAAGAAAACACCGGCAUAUGUUGGUGACACAGUAAAUCCACAUCUACCUGCUAGUGUAAGAGUCUCAGCAUCACACAGCAAUCAUUUUGGGUUUUCUUCCAAGUCUUUUCAUCUUAUAGGUAUGUUCUGCAGACCUCAGCACAGCUCACUUCUACAGCCAAGGUUUUGCAGAACAAUAUGAUCAUCUUUAACUUUGAGAAAGCUGCUCUCUAAGAUCGUCUGGAU